rnacentral:tRNA from 18 species
GCGGCCAUGGCGGAACUGGUAGACGCGCAACGUUGAGGUCGUUGUGGGCGAAAGCCCGUGGAAGUUCGAGUCUUCUUGGCCGCACCA